rnacentral:lncRNA from 1 species
ACUGUCGGCUGCCUUACACCGCGCCUCCCGUCCACCUCAAAGCUGAUAUGGAUGGGCCGCUCUCCAGCCGGGGUGAGAAGGUAAAUGGAGCCAGGUUGGUCUGCUGGAUCAGAGCCUUCCUGCUGCGGGGCUGAGUUUCUGGCAGUAUUUCCCGUCCUUGAGUGGGCAGCCUGCCUCUCUGUGGCAGACCAUCUCUGCCCAGCCAGCUCUGGCCCACUCUGUGCCCAUGAGAGGCAUCUGAGCAGCUGCUGGCAUGUUCCACAUGCGCCCACUCCACAGGCCUCCUUCGCCCCGUCCUCUCACUGGCAGGGUGGCUUCUCUUUUGUCACACUGGAGAAUUUACUCAAGCUUUGAGGCUUUUGCAGGGAGGGCUUCUGGUGGGGCAAAGAGACAGCAGGCCAGCAAGGAACCUCGGCCAACUGGCAGGGCUCCUCUGUGGAACCGGAUCUCUGGUUGUUUGAGGCGUUGGGAAUGAAUGUCUAGAAGAUGCUUAGGUAUUACCCAGUCCAGCAGCUGGAAGGCUUUGCUUUUUAAGCAUUGGAACCCUUCGUUUAGUCUCAUCAGUAUCACAGAUGAAUUUAGACGGAGCUGCUCUGAGUGCAACCAUGGAGCGGGUAGGAGCCUCACCUCCCGCUCAGCUCUGAGGCAUCCCAGAGCUAGCCUUAAAAGCCAUUGAGCUGAGACAGCCUCUCCUUUUAGAAGAGGGAAAUCGAGGCCAAGAAGCUGAAGGUCAGAGCCUGGAUGAGAACCUGUGCGUUUAUUCAUUCACUUACUCAUUACUCACAGAUAAGUAAAGCAUGGCUGCUGCUCGAGGAGGCCACAUCUGGAGGGGGAGACAGACUCCAGCAUUUGCAACCCGGCUGAUCACACUGUGAUAGGGAGCUGUGGGAUGGGGGAAGAGUGGGGGCAGGGAGAGAUGGAGGGAAGACUUCCUGGAGGAAGGCAGCCCCAAAACGCAGGCCUGACACUGGAUCAGGGCUCAUCAAAGACAGCCAUCCCAGCUCUUAGGGAAUCCUGAACCAUUCCAUGUCACUGGGACAGGCUUGGGAGGAAAAGUGGUGAGAAAUGGGACCAAGGGGCUGACAGGCAGAGGACCUGGACUUUAUCCCGGGGCAGUGGGGGACCUUGGAAGGCCUUGCAGAGACAGCACUGUGAUGGUCCUCAGAGAGGUCGGCUGGAAGAUGUGCCGUGGGAGGCAUGGAGCCACCCUGAGUCAGAUGGUACAGUGGUCCAGGGAGACAGAGACCAUGCUUUAGAGGUGGAAGGUCCAUCAGGAGCCCUCCAGUCCUGUGGAUCCCAGUCUUCAUGUGUCUUGGAAUCACCGGGGCAGCUUGGAAAAACAGAUUCCCAAGCCAGAGUCUGAUGGCGAGACUGGAAUGGGGUACAUUGACCUGCAUUUGUGAUGCUCAGCCCCUGUGAUUCUGAUGGGCAGCUCCAGGUGCAGAACACUUCUCCAGGGUAUUUCCUCUGGCUGUGCCUCCUGAUUGAGCACCUACUGUGUGUUGGGCUCUCUGUGAUUGGCAAUGUGAGGGAAUAUCUAUAGUACGGAGGUGAAAACAGCCUAGUUGCACAGAUAUGUUUCCAAGUAGGUGGUGGUGUUCAACACAAGAAUCAGGUGGUCGGGGAGCACACCGCAGGAAGGUCCCUUCUGAGACUGUCACAUUCACAGUAAGAACUGCUAUUUGUUGAGCUCGUCUUCUGUUCCACUUUACACACAUCUUCUGGUUGACACCUCCCAGCUUCUUGGUGGGCAUGGAGAUGGCCUUUCUCAUUGUAGAAAUAAAUGGACUGAGGUUCAGAGAGAUGAGGUGAUUUGUCGAGGGGUGCAGCAAGUUUGCUGGACUCUGAAGUCUAUGAAGCUCAGUAGAUUCUUCCUUUCUUGUACCACUUCACAUUUCUACAGGACUGUCUCUGACAGUAUCCUUUACAGCCUCCCUGGGAGGAUGGCUAUGAUGGAACUCCAUGUCACCUCUGGAAACGGAGGCUCAGAGAAGUAGCUCAUCCAGGUCACACUGAGUGUGGACACAGCAGGCCUCGAUCUAAGGACCACCUGCCUCAUACCUGCCUCUUUCUUGUGGGAGAUCAUUGGUCCUACCAGACCUGGCACUGGCUUUGCAGAAGAGAUCUGACCUGAUACCCACCCACAAGAAACUUGUGACUUAGAGUAGGACAUGGACAGUUAUACCAUAAGGCAAUGGGGUAGUUGGAGUGGGGGCAGCCAUGGCCUUGGAGGACCCAGAAGAGGGAGUGACAACUUUAGGGGAGAAGCAGGGUAUGAGGAGAAGGGCAUUCCAUGUUGGGAGAACAGCAAGUGCUGAUGCACAGAAGCAAGGAGAAGCCUGGCUUUGAGGGGAUUGUGGGGUGUUUAGUGGGGUGGAGGCCCAGGGAAGUGGAGGAGCAGCCAGGGCUACAUACUGAAAAGCCUGGUACCCUAGGCAUUAUAUAGAGGGAAGGGUUGGGCCUUGGAAGUGCAUAGGGCUGGGCUCAGUGCUUGGAGAGGAGCCCUGCCUCCUGGUUGCUCAGCUAAGCUUGUGGUUAUUUCUGGUUCAGCCUGAAAGACGAGCCAGGCUGGGCAUUGGCAACUUUGGCUCUAGGAUUCUGGCCCCUGGGUUUGUCUAGUGAGCCAGAAUUCACUCUUUCUGGGCUGUGUCCCCGGAUUUGUAUCCAGAUGCUCUGCAUUAAAGUGUGUCUCCCUCCUUUGUGACCCACUGCCCUCUCACUGUCAGAACUUCCCUCAACUUCCAGGGAUUUUUCCCAUCCACAUAUUGUCAAACCUGUGGGCUUGGUGGGUCACAGGGCUUGGGCUGAGCAGGCAGCGUAGGACUGUAUGGGCUGUCUCCCAAGUCCCUCCGGGCCUGAGCCAGCCUAGCUGUGGGGAGACUGUGUCCCCCUGGGUCUGGUCCUUGAGCCCACUCAUCUGGAUCAGGGCUGGUUUGGCCAGGAGAACAAUGACCCGAGCAUUCUCAGGGUGGGAGGAGCUUCCUGUCCACUGCGUCAUCAUUUGGCCACAUACGCCUGUGCGUUUCCAGAACCACAUUUCUUCCUGGUUGUGUACCCUGAUCCCACAACUUCAGCACUUGGAAGGUUCUUAGAAAUCAGGACCAAGAGGUUAUUAUUCAAAUAUUAGGUCAUUGAGGGACUGAGGCCCCUGUAGGGGACAGGUUUGACUGGGGUAAUCUUUUUUUUUUUGGGGGGGGGUGCUCCUUUUAAUAAGAGCUUAAAGCCAGGUGUCCUGCAGAUCCAGUGGAAAUAAGGCACAAGGCUGGGGGAAGAAUGCAGUGUGAGCUUUGGAGCCCAGCCACCCUGAGCCCAGAUCUGCCACCUCCUCCCUCUGAGACCUGGAAACACGAUUAGCUUCUCAGAGUUUCAGUUUCUGCAUUUAUAAAAUGGGGACAAUAAUGGCUCCCACCACCCGGGUUUGCUGUGGAGACUAAAUGCAAUGACUUGUGUAAAGAGCUUAGCACAGUGUCCCAUAGGCAGAAAGCACUCCAUGGGUACUGGUCGUCAUUAUGAUUGCAGUAGUCUACUCGUAUCUGUAGGGCUAUGUUCCAAGACCCCCAGUGGGGGCCUGAAACCCUGGAUAGUAUUGAACCUUAUAUAAUAGUAUAUUUUUCCUAUACAUACAUACCUCUGAUAAAGGUUGAUUUAUAAAUUAGGCACAUUAAGAAAUUAACAACAACAAUAAUAAAAUAGAACAAUCAUAAUGUACUCUAAUAAUAGUUAUAUGAGUGUGAUCCCUCUCUUUUGAAAGAGUCAAGACCAAUAUUAAUAUUCUUGGACUGUGGUUGACUGCAGAUAACUGAAACUGUAGGUAAGGGGGAGGGGACUACCAUGCUACUAUGGAGGUCAACAUCUUUGCUUUCCUCCUCCACCUCCUCUGGUAGCUGAUUCUGGGCAAGAAACAUCCUGAUCAGAAAAUGUAUCAGCGAUGUGACGGUGCCCACUGGCAGACUCUGGGCCACUUGAAACCUCCUCCUCCUAUUUUCCUGUGAAAAGGGACACCCCAUUUUGACCAGCCAGCCAGUAACCCUUGACCUGAACUUCAGGGGAUGGGUUGUAUGGGUGGCAGUAAGAUGUCAGCCAGGUGCUCUAAGUGGAAGAGGGAAAGAGAAAGGAGCAGAGGCCCACCCACUCGCUGUGCAUCAGCCUCUGGCUUAGCCACAUGCCUUGGCUUUGUGCAGAUCCGGUGCACACUGGGUGCUUAGCCCUUGGCUUGGUAGAUUGUGUGCCGUGGGCAGCUGUUGUCAUGGUGGUGUUGGAGAGGUAGAGAUGGGAGGUUUAGUAAAGAGCCUGCCUGGAUUCCAGUGUUGGUGUGCCUCUUCCUAGCUGUGAUCAUAGACUCACUAACUGCCACUUCUUUCAGCCUUGGUGCCCUCCCUGUAAAAUAGAGACCAUCACAGUAGGACUUCCUCAUGGGCUUGAGGUGCAGCUUCAUUGAAGCAAUUUAUGGAGGGAGCAGGGUAAAGUACCCAGUAGGUUUUUGCUUCUGCUAUUGUAUCUCAUUGAAUCCUCCCUGUUCUGAGAGGUUUUGUCAUCCCUGUUUACAGAUGAGGAAAUAGGCUCAGAGAGGGGAAGUGAGUUGUCCAAAGUCCCACAGCAAGUAAGCUGCCAGAGUCAAGAUUUAAACCCAGAUCUAGGCCCUGAGCCCUUCCUUAUGCUGCAUGACUUUGAGGAUCCCUGGGGGCUGCCAAGUGGGGCAGGCUCCCAACUCAGCCACCUCCCAUGCCCUCCUCUUGCAGGUCAUCCUUUUUCAGUACUAACGCUGUCGGCACUUCCGCAUCUGUCCAUGGGCACCCCACAGCUGCCCCUCAGCCGCUGAGAUCCAGUGUCCAAACUGUGGCCAGGGAUCCACCGCCUCCUCCGCAUCCACCCCCACCCGCCAUUCUGCCCGCCGCCAGCUGGGCCCCCAGGCCUGGCCUUCCCUCUCCUGCUGAGAACCAGAACUGGCCAGGAGCAUCACAGAGUCCUCCUCUUGGAAGGCAGAGCUCCCUGAAAUUUGGAAUCAGGGUGAAAACAACAGCCUGUUUUUCCCAUUUAAACAGGAGUCAUCUUCAACUUCAGCUGAUUACAAUAGCAAAAGACAAAUUGAAUCAUGCGACACCAACAGCCUCCUAAUUUACAGGUUUUCUUCCCCGCCCUCCCACCCCCAUUGGCCUUUAUUUACUACUUCCUUGGAACCAUCUCUGAAUUCCGAAUAGCCGACAACCCCCAAUGUCAUCCACUCUGUUGCUUUUGUCUGGAAAACUCUACAGUGUUUGUGGGAUGUCCCCAAAGGAAAGCUAUGUUCUAAUUUUAUCAUUUCCAUCUGUCUGGUUAUGUCAAGUUAAUUCAGAAAGAGAAGAGACACUGACCAACCCUGAGAGGCCCAGUAGGGCAGAGAUGGAGGCCUGCCCAGACCAAGAGGCAGAGGGACAGGCGGGGGAUGGGGGACAAAGGCCCCCAUUGGUUGGAGAUCGAGGAGAGGGAUGUGGCACAUGUGGCACUCUGCACUGGGAGAGGCACUAACCAUCUCAAGGAGGGGAAAGCGAACACUUGGGACGGAGGGGAAACCCUACCCCCACCUGACUAUCUAACAUAAGUGCAGGAGACGUAGCAAAGAUGGUAUUUGAUCUGUGUGAUGCUGCUGCUGAGUGUUUGGGCAGGCUAGAGUUGGGGAUGCUUUUUGGCUGCUGGUUCACUACUGAUAGGGGUGCCUGGGCUAGGGGACCACUCUUGGGGGCCAAGGAACAGAGCCCAGUGAAAUGAGAGCCAGAAUGUAAACUCUGAUCCAUCUCUGAGUCGAGAGGUACCCACUGCUUAGGUGAGUGUGCCAAGCUAGUCCUAUGGGCUUCCCUGCCAACCCUGCCCAGAGCCAGCCCCACCCACUCCUGAGAACAAGGCUAGACACAGCUGUGCUCUCAUCCACCCCAUCCUGCUGCAACUCUUCCACCUGAAACCAAGGGCUUGGGCAAAUAGGACCAUGAUAUUUAUGUUUUCAGGGGAUGCCCAUUUGCCCCAAGCUUAUCCUAUAAUUCUAGAACUACUUGGAGACCUAGUGCAUUUCCCACUAGAGGCUGCUAGUAAGCAUGCUUUAGCCCCAGUCCUCCUGCCUGCUUUUGGAAGGAGACUCCAGGACAGGGAAAGCAAGUUUAUAGUUAUACGCAGCUGUGGUCCCUCUGUCUUCACCCAUAGCAGACAUCACUAAUAGAUGCACUCUCUCUGAGUCUGGAUAAGGUUUCGGGAUUCACAUGCUUGAAGUUGGCACUUAAUGAGAACUUACAUGCCAUUUUCUCUGGAGGAGGCCUAGGCAUGGGUGAGGCCCAAGAAGGGAACCUGCAUUCUGUCCCUUCCAAAGAUGUUACAGCUAACUAAGGUCAAAGAGAAAGCACCACUCAGAAUGUGGUGAAUAUAGCUCAGUUCAGAAGUCAUCCAGUGAAAACUUGUGCUGCCUCUGUCUGGGCACUGAACUAACAGGAGUGACCUGGGCCUGAUCCCUGGCCUUGGGGAGCUCAGAUCUUUCCUUUGAUUUUUGCUCCUAAUGAUCAAAGCCCCAAUCACAACCAUGUGGUAAGCAGCCAACUGAGCCUUGCCCAGGGUCACCCAGGAUCCUCUCUGUCUUGAGUCUCUCCCCAGGGUCUGUUCCUUGCGUGGACUACAUGACAGUAGCAUGUUGCAGUUCAAACGUCUCCAUUACCCUGUUAAGAGCAGCCUGGGAACACACAGGCCGACAAGACUAUUUAUUUAAAUACAAAAGGGGAAAUACACACAUGGAAUAAAAAUUGUAAGCACUUUUUUUGUAAAACCAAUGUCUGUUUUGUUACAUAUCUUUCAUGUUGUGCUUUGUAAAUGUCUUA